GCGGACGUAGCUCAGUUGGUAGAGCAUCACCUUGCCAAGGUGAAUGUCGCGAGUUCAAAUCUCGUCGUCCGCUCCA
rnacentral:tRNA from 2 species